GGCUCCGUGGCCGGGGGUGCCGGCGGCGCGGUCGCCGGGACCGCGGCGAGGGCCUCCACCGGGUCGAUCCGGCCGAAGCCG
rnacentral:tRNA from 1 species